CAUUCCAUUCUGAUUUGGCAUAGAUGUGAUAUAGCUUGGUAAAAUCUUGGAUCUUAGGUAGUUUUUCAAAAGGAAAAGCCGAUAUCUACUGUUCUCUGCAUAUGGAACCAUUUGCUAUGACUUUGAAAGAGCUAGCCUCAAGAUAUUCAGGAAACAAUUUAACCAGGAUCUUUCAAUUGUGAAAAGAAAUUCAUCUUUGUCUCAAGG
rnacentral:misc_RNA from 1 species